GCCUCCGUAGCUCAGUGGCAGAGCAGCGCCCUCCUAUGCAGAUUCCAUCCGGAAUUUUGGAUAUAGGCGAAGGUCUGGGGUUCGAGCCCCCACUGAGGUU